rnacentral:misc_RNA from 1 species
UGGAAGUAAAAGUCGUAACAAGGUUUCCGUAGGUGAACCUGCGGAAGGAUCAUUAACGCGCAGGCCGGAGGCUGGCCCCCCACGAUAGGGAUCAAAUGUUCCAUCAGGGGUGUGCAGAUGUGCGCCGGCCGUUCGCCCCAUUCUUGUCUACCUUACUCGGUUGCCUCGGCGGGCCGCGCUCUCCUGGGAGAGUCGUCCGGCGAGCCUCCCCCCGGGGGGCUUUAGCUGGACCGCGCUCGCCGGAGGACAGACACCAAAAAUCCUUGAAGAGCUGUCAGUCUGAGCGUUAGCAAGUUAAAAUCAGUUAAAACUUUCAACAACGGAUCUCUUGGUUCCGGCAUCGAUGAAGAACGCAGCGAAAUGCGAUAAGUAAUGUGAAUUGCAGAAUUCCGUGAAUCAUCGAAUCUUUGAACGCACAUUGCGCCCUCUGGUAUUCCGGGGGGCAUGCCUGUUCGAGCGUCAUUUCAACCCCUCAAGCCCGGCUUGUGUGAUGGACGACCGUCCGGCCCCCUUUUUUCGGGGGCGGGACGCGCCCGAAAAGCAGUGGCCAGGCCGCGAUUCCGGCUUCCUGGGCGAAUGGGCAGUUAAACCAGCGCCCUCAGGACCGGCCGCUCUGGCCCUCCCCCAAAUCUCUUUGAGAUAUUUUUCAGGUUGACCUCGGAUCAGGUAGGGAUACCCGCUGAACUUAAGCAUAUCAAUAA